rnacentral:rRNA from 1 species
UACGUAGGUGGCAAGCGUUGUCCGGAUUUACUGGGCGUAAAGAGCGCGCAGGCGGUCGUUCAAGUCGCGUGUGAAAGCCCCCGGCUCAACUGGGGAGGGUCACGCGAUACUGAUCGACUCGAAGGCAGGAGAGGGUAGUGGAAUUCCCGGUGUAGUGGUGAAAUUCGUAGAUAUCGGGAGGAAUACCAGUGGCGAAGGCGGCGACCUGGGCCAAUACUGACGCUGAGGUGCGAAAGCGUGGGGAGCAAACAGG